GAUGAACGCUAGCGGCAGGCUUAACACAUGCAAGUCGAGGGGUAUAGUUCUUCGGAACUAGAGACCGGCGCACGGGUGCGUAACGCGUAUGCCAUCUACCUUUUACAGGGGGAUAGCCCAGAGAAAUUUGGAUUAAUACCCCAUAGUAUGUUAGAGUGGCAUCAUUUUAACCUUACAGUUCCAACGGUAAAAGAUGGGCAUGAGUCCUAUUAGCUAGAUGGUAAGGUGACGGCUUACCAUGGCUACGAUAGGUCGGGGUCCUGAGAGGGAGAUCCACCAAACAGGUACUGAGACACGGACCAGACUCCUACGGGAGGCAGCAGUGAGGAAUAUUGGACAAUGGGCGCAAGCCUGAUCCAGCCAUGCCGCGUGCAGGAAGACGGUCCUAUGGAUUGUAAACUGCUUUUGUACGGGAAGAAACACUCCUACGUGUAGGAGCUUGACGGUACCGUAAGAAUAAGGAUCGGCUAACUCCGUGCCAGCCGCCGCCGUAAAAC
rnacentral:rRNA from 1 species